rnacentral:rRNA from 1 species
UACGUAGGGGGCUAGCGUUGUCCGGAUUUAUUGGGCGUAAAGAGCGUGUAGGCGGCCAGGUAGGUCUGCUGUGAAAACUCGAGGCUCAACCUCGAGACGUCGGCGGAAACCAUCUGGCUAGAGUCCGGAAGAGGAGAGUGGAAUUCCUGGUGUAGCGGUGAAAUGCGCAGAUAUCAGGAGGAACACCCGUGGCGAAGGCGGCUCUCUGGGACGGUACUGACACUGAGACGCGAAAGCGUGGGGAGCGAACAGG